rnacentral:sRNA from 2 species
AGAUUAUUUCGGUAGGUGAGGUUACCACAGGGAUUGGGAUUUUAUCCCGAAGAUUGCUGCCGCGGGACCGUGGAGACACGGUUAGAUGGUCAGCAGGCCGCGUCGUGAAGGCGCAGCCUAAUGCAAUUGAUAUGCCCUGUGAUGCUAAAGCUUGAACGAUGCAUGUUUCCA